AAACUAUCCCAGUUUAUAAUGAGGCAAUAUUUUCUCUUUCUCUCCCUCAGGAAGCAAUAUCUUUCCUUGCAGUUUUUGGCAUGAAAAAGCAGUAGCAAGGUUGAGUUUGUGCCUUCCCACAAGCCUCAGUGUUUACAGAGCUACAGUCUCCUAUAGAGGUCCACAGACAAACCCUGGAAGCCGAAAGAGUGGAAACAAAGUUUCUAAUAGCAUCAUUAUUCCCUACUCAACUGAUGGUGGAGAAACCUUAGAAAAUAAGAUGCACUGGGCUGAGUUUGACAAUGUUCACUGGCUUCUCCAGGGCUGCCAAGCUCUCUACCACACAGGAGGCUUUUGAGCUUUCAGAACUGCAGCAGCUCCUAUUGAAUGGAAAAC
rnacentral:lncRNA from 1 species